GCCUACGGGGGGCAGCAGUAGGGAAUCUUCCACAAUGGGCGAAAGCCUGAUGGAGCAACGCCGCGUGGGUGAAGAAGGUCUUCGGAUCGUAAAACCCUGUUGUUAGAGAAGAAAGUGCGUGAGAGUAACUGUUCACGUUUCGACGGUAUCUAACCAGAAAGCCACGGCUAACUACGUGCCAGCAGCCGCGGUAAUACGUAGGUGGCAAGCGUUAUCCGGAUUUAUUGGGCGUAAACGGAACGCAGGCGGUCUUUUAAGUCUGAUGUGAAAGCCUUCGGCUUAACCGGAGUAGUGCAUUGGAAACU
rnacentral:rRNA from 1 species